AUCAAACAGCUCAAAGCAUGACAAUUAGGUGUUCACGCCAUUGCGUGAUGUGUGCUGCCCAUAAACCUUGUUAUAACAUGGGCACACGUUACCCAUCUGACA